rnacentral:lncRNA from 1 species
CGACUCGUCCGAUCCUAGCUGCUCUGGCGGUCUGGCCCGCCUGGAUCCGCUUGUGGAGUGGAGCGCCCCUCUAGCAACACGCCGUGGAGGGCCUAAGGCGGUUGCCGCCAGCGCCGGGUUGGUGAACGGCCCGCCAGCUGGCCCUGGAUCUCUUCCCUUCCCUUCCAUUCCAUCCAUCCGCCUCCUUUUGGAUCGCUAGGGUCGGCCAUCCCAUGCCGUUCUGAUCCUUCCAGACCGUUCUGCCACCCUCCGAAAUCUGAAUUCCAC